rnacentral:rRNA from 1 species
UNAAACUGCUUGGGAAACUGAUAAUCUAGAGUAAGGGAGAGGCAGAUGGAAUUCUUGGUGUAGGGGUAAANUCCGUAGAUAUCAAGAAGAAUACCUAUUGCGAAGGCGAUCUGCUGGAACUUAACUGACGCUAAUGCGUGAAAGCGUGGGGAGCAAACAGGAUUAGAUACCCUGGUAGUCCACGCCCUAAACGAUGUAUACCGGUUGUUGCUGUGCUAGUCACGGCAGUAAUCCACCUAACGGAUUAAGCAUACCGCCUGGGGAGUACGGUCGCAAGAUUAAAACUCAAAGGAAUAGACGGGGACCCGCACAAGCGGUGGAGCAUGUGGUUUAAUUCGAAGAUACGCGAAGAACCUUACCCGGACUUGAUAUCUAACAAAUCAUCCAGAGAUGGAAGAGUGUCUGCUUGCAGAGAUGUUAAGACAGGUGCUGCACGGCUGUCGUCAGCUCGUGUCGUGAGAUGUUGGGUUAAGUCCCGCAACGAGCGCAACCCACGUCAUUAGUUGCUAACGGUUCGGCCGAGCACUCUAAUGAGACUGCCUUCGUAAGGAGGAGGAAGGUGUGGACGACGUCAAGUCAUCAUGGCCCUUAUGUCCGGGGCGACACACGUGCUACAAUGGCAUAUACAAUAAGACGCAAUAUCGUAAGAUGGAGCAAAUCUAAAAAAUAUGUCCCAGUUCGGAUUGGAGUCUGCAACUCGACUCCAUGAAGCCGGAAUCGCUAGUAAUCGUAGAUCAGCCAUGCUACGGUGAAUACGUUCCCGGGUCUUGUACUCACCGCCCGUCACACCAUGGGAGUUGAUUUCACUCGAAGCGGGAAUGCGAAAUUCGCUA